rnacentral:rRNA from 1 species
ACUGAACGCUGGCGGCAUGCCUUACACAUGCAAGUCGAACGGCAGCAUGAUCUAGCUUGCUAGAUUGAUGGCGAGUGGCGAACGGGUGAGUAAUACAUCGGAACGUGCCCUGUAGUGGGGGAUAACUAGUCGAAAGAUUAGCUAAUACCGCAUACGACCUGAGGGUGAAAGUGGGGGACCGCAAGGCCUCACGCUAUAGGAGCGGCCGAUGUCUGAUUAGCUAGUUGGUGAGGUAAAGGCUCACCAAGGCGACGAUCAGUAGCUGGUCUGAGAGGACGAUCAGCCACACUGGGACUGAGACACGGCCCAGACUCCUACGGGAGGCAGCAGUGGGGAAUUUUGGACAAUGGGGGCAACCCUGAUCCAGCAAUGCCGCGUGUGUGAAGAAGGCCUUCGGGUUGUAAAGCACUUUUGUCCGGAAAGAAAUCGCACUUACUAAUAUUAGGUGUGGAUGACGGUACCGGAAGAAUAAGGACCGGCUAACUACGUGCCAGCCGCCGCAGUAAGAC